rnacentral:rRNA from 15 species
AAUUCUCGGCAACGGAUAUCUCGGCUCUCGCAUCGAUGAAGAACGUAGCGAAAUGCGAUACCUGGUGUGAAUUGCAGAAUCCCGUGAACCAUCGAGUCUUUGAACGCAAGUUGCGCCCGAGGCCAUCCGGCUAAGGGCACGCCUACCUAGGCAUCA